UACGAAGGGUGCAAGCGUUGCUCGGAAUCAUUGGGCGUAAAGGGCAAGUAGGUGGUCUUGUUUGUCUGAGGUGAAAUCCUUGGGCUCAACCUAAGAAGUGCCUCGGAAACGGCAAGACUAGAGUCCUAGAGAGGGUCGCGGAAUUCCCGGUGUAGCGGUGAAAUGCGUAGAGAUCGGGAGGAACACCAGAGGCGAAAGCGGCGGCCUGGACAGGUACUGACACUCAACUGCGAAAGCGUGGGGAUCAAACAGG
rnacentral:rRNA from 1 species